rnacentral:rRNA from 1 species
UGAGGAAUAUUGCGCAAUGGGGGCAACCCUGACGCAGCAACGCCGCGUGAGUGAGGAAGGUUUUCGGACCGUAAAGCUCUGUCGAGCGGGAAGAAAUGCAUGGUGGCUACUAUCCAUCAUGCUUGACGGUACCGCUAAAGGAAGCACCGGCUAACUCCGUGCCAGCAGCCGCGGUAAUACGGGGGGUGCGAGCGUUGUUCGGAUUUAUUGGGCGUAAAGAGCGUGUAGGCGGCCGAAUAAGUCAGAUGUGAAAUCCCUGGGCUUAACCCAGGACGUGCAUUUGAAACUAUUCGGCUAGAGGAGGGGAGAGGAAAGUGGAAUUCCUGGUGUAGAGGUGAAAUCCGUAGAUAUCAGGAGGAACACCGGUGGCGAAGGCGACUUUCUGGCCCUAUACUGACGCUGAGACGCGAGAGCGUGGGUAGCAAA